rnacentral:rRNA from 1 species
AACGAACGCUGGCGGCAGGCUUAACACAUGCAAGUCGAGCGCCCUUUUCGGAGGGAGCGGCAGACGGGUGAGUAACGCGUGGGAACAUGCCCCGAGGUACGGAAUAGCCCAUGGAAACGUGGUGUAAUACCGUAUAUAUCGCAAGAGGAAAGAUUUAUCGCCUUGGGAUUGGCCCGCGUUAGAUUAGGUAGUUGGUGGGGUAAUGGCCUACCAAGCCGACGAUCUAUAUCUGGUUUGAGAGGAUGAUCAGACACACUGGGACUGAGACACGGCCCAGACUCCUACGGGAGGCAGCAGUGGGGAAUCUUGGACAAUGGGGGCAACCCUGAUCCAGCCAUGCCGCGUGAGCGAAGAAGGCCUUAGGGUUGUAAAGCUCUUUCGCUAGGGAAGAUAAUGACUGUACCUAGUAAAGAAGCCCCGGCUAACUCCG